ensembl:snRNA U6 U6 spliceosomal RNA
GUGCUGGUUUGGACAGCGCAUAUACUAAAACUGGAACAAUACAGAGAAGAUUAGCACGGCCCCCGCGCAAGGACAACACACAAAUUCAUGAAUUGUUUCAAACUUUU